rnacentral:rRNA from 2 species
UACGGAGGGUGCAAGCGUUGUCCGGAUUUAUUGGGUUUAAAGGGUGCGUAGGCGGCCAUUUAAGUCUGGGGUGAAAGCCCGUUGCUCAACAACGGAACUGCCCUGGAAACUGGAUGGCUUGAGUACAGACGAGGGUGGCGGAAUGGAUGCUGUAGCGGUGAAAUGCAUAGAUAGCAUCCAGAACCCCGAUUGCGAAGGCAGCUGCCUAGACUGUAACUGACGCUGAGGCACGAAAGCGUGGGGAGCGAACAGG